AAAGGAGGACGUAUUCCUAUGGAGCUGUGAGAGGACGUGCUGGAAAAGAGAGGACGUGCUGGAAAAAAAGGGACGUGUUGGAAAAGAGGAAAACGAGCACUAGACUGGAGACCUCCUGCGCCCCGAUAAGAAGAACUGGACCAGCUCGGGGAAGUUUAACUGCCGGGAGGUAAUGUGGAGACCCAGCCUCGAACAAAGUUAAAGCCUGAAAAGGCGAAGAACUCGGACCGCGGUGGUCUUUGGGCUUUGGAUCCCUGGCCGGGGUUGUCUUCAGCCGGUAGUUUGCCUAGAGGAAGAACAAAUAAAUUUUGUGUAACCCA